CCAACUGGCGCCGUCUGUGGGAAAUUGAGCUAAGGCGUGAGAUUCAUUGUUUUCCGGUUACUGUUCAUCACUUAUUACUGUUCAUCGAAAAUUUUUGGGGAAAAUUAGGGAUCUGGGUUACUACUCGUUACUGUUCAUCGAUUGGGUUUGGGUCUUUUGUUUUCUAGAUUCCGGCGAGGAGGGAGAUAUCAUAUCGGGAAACGGGAAAUCGGAUCUGAGCUGGGGAAAAGUCAUGGCCAUCGCCCCUCUUCCUCAACAAUUUCGCUAAGCUCCGACCAGCAGCAGGCUCCGCUGCCGCAAAAAUUGCCACCUCCCAGAUAUCGCAUGUCAGGCGAGCAAAUCACCGGUCUAUAUCAUCGCCGCCUGGUGUACAAGCAACACCGGCUGCUAGCUGCCACAACUAUCUCCACCGGCCUUAUCUUCACCUCAAAUUUGAUCUGAUCACCCUAUCGCCCCCUUUCAAUCUGGGUUCUCAGAUUUCCAUCUAAAUCACGCCGGGAAAAAGACAGAAUUGAACCAGCGACGUCAGGGAAGAAAACUCUGGCGGCCUGAGCGACGUCAGCGAAGAAAACUCCGACGGCCUCCGCCGUGCCUCCUGAGGCGCCGACAUUUCUGAACUCUUGGCACCUGAUUCUAGCGUAGCUCCGGGGAAAAGCUCCCACGAUCAUGGCCAUUUCUCUAUUUCUCUCUUUUAAGUUUUGUCUCUGCUGCUAAUCAUACUCUUUCUCUUGUAGAAACUCCAAUGGUGCUCUGACUUGGGGGGAGGGCAACUCGAUCCUUGUCGGAACCAGGCCGAUUUCCUCCAGAAUCGCACUGGCGAGGGUUUUAAUUUGAUAAGGAAAAACGAAAAGGGGAACUGGGGAAGAAUGAGGGAUCUUGGAAAUCUUAAGAUCGGCGAGCAACCACUGCUGUAAAAUCGAUUCAUUGUCAGUGUCUCAUCCGGCGAUGGAAGAAAAGUUCAGCGAUUAGAGGGGGAUACCCAAGCUGUUGAGUUCGUUCCCCGGUUGUCCUGCUUUUGCCUCCGGUUGGAUGACCGGAGGGGGCUACGAUCGCUGCUGCGAGACAGAAAUUCAAAGCUCAACACAUUUGGGACGCUAAUUUGUCAAAGGCAAUGUUGAACGGCCGACGAUAGAGCUUUCAGGCCAGAUGAACAUCGUCUAAAGAAGAAGAUAAGUUCUUGAUUCACUGGCUUGAGCCUUUAUUUAUACUUUUAUCUUAAUUGUGUUGAUGGUUUUCAAUUCCAUGGAGCAAUGACGUUUUUGCCAUGAAUUAAAUUUUUCUUAGUCUCAUAAGAAAUUUCCUUUUGUGAUUGCUUACUGGUGUUGAGUAAGAGCUCUGUUGAGAUGCGAGAAGAAUUUCAAUGUGCGUUCUGAUAUUGAUCUAAAGAUUGAGGAUAUUUUGAUAUUUGGGUAUUCUUUGGUAUUUUAAGAUCAUUAGCUUAGAUUUAUUGCUAUUUUGAAUUAUGGAAUUGAACAUUACAAUUGUUGGGAUAAGACCGUGGAGAUAUAUGCCUUUAUGUGCAUGAUUGAGUUAUUAUGGGGCAUUUAAAUUAACUCUUCAUGAUUUGGUUUUGAUGUUCGUGGGGCCUUAUUUGAAUUUUGGUGAUUGAAUUUGAGUUUAUUGGUUGGUUAUGAU
rnacentral:lncRNA from 1 species